GCCCACAGUUGCAUAGUGAUUUGAGUGUUGGACUACAACUCUGAAGACAAGGGUUCGAUUCCCUCUUGGCCA